rnacentral:rRNA from 1 species
ACGGAGGGGGCUAGCGUUGUUCGGAAUUACUGGGCGUAAAGCGCACGUAGGCGGCUUUGCAAGUCAGAGGUGAAAGCCCGGGGCUCAACCCCGGAAUAGCCUUUGAGACUGCAUCGCUAGAAUUGUGGAGAGGUAAGUGGAAUUCCGAGUGUAGAGGUGAAAUUCGUAGAUAUUCGGAAGAACACCAGUGGCGAAGGCGGCUCUCUGGCCUGAUACUGACGCUGAGGAGCGAAAGCGUGGGGAGCGAACAGGA